rnacentral:rRNA from 1 species
AAGUUGAAGCAGAACGAGUCGAAAUUGUUAAGCAGUGAAGUGGUUUGGUUAUACCGUCCAUGUAGCUGUGGUACUGCGCUGGUUGCGCUGUCCGAGCUCUCCUGACUAGUCAGUGUUGCCCACCCUUGUGGUGGUGUCUUGCUUUCUGGAAUGGUUUGCCGUGUCAGUGUUUAGCUUGCCCUUUGGGUGAGAACCGGUGUUAAUGUCGAUCACCGUUCUGUCCCGUCUUGAAACACGGACCGAGGAGUGUAACUUGUGCGCGAGUCAGAGGGUGUUAAACCUUACGGCGAAAUGAAAGUAAAGGUCGAUUAAUCGGCUGAGAUGGGAUCCUUGCUUUACGGCUUGGCGCACCAUCGCCCUGUCUCGAAAGCUUGCUUUUGGGCAGAGGUAGAGCGUACAGGUUGCGACCCGAAAGAUGGUGAACUAUGCUUGAGCAGAACGAAGCCAGAGGAAACUCUGGUGGAAGUUCGUAUCGGUUCUGACGUGCAAA